UGGAUGGUUGUUGGUCUGAAUGUGUGCCCUGCAACUAACUGGCGACCAGUUCAGGGUGGAGUCUGUCUUCUGCACGAACUCAGCUGAGAUGGGCUUCAGCAGACGCCCCUCCCCACACUUCCCCCCUCGCGAACCUGUUCAGGAUAAGCAGUGUUGAAAAUGGAUGGAUGGAUUUCUCGAAAAUAAUUAGGAACAGAUACAUAUUACAUAUUCUAUAAAUCACUGCCAGUAUUUACGUUUUCUAAUGAUCACGUCUGCAAUAGUCUUAGAAAAUUGCAAUGUCCAGGUCAGAUGGACCCUUAUGUGUAUCUCUCACCUGUUUGGAUUUGUUCAUGUUUGCAAGCUUCACCGUGGUUGGUAACAAUGACGUCAUUUUCAGGCGACAACAAGUGACAAAAUGGCCACCCCUUGAUGGAUUAAAAAAUUUGUGAAAUUUGCAACUUAAUUCGUAUUAAAUAGACCUGAACUUCAACUGAAUACCGCAGUUAGACGAAUGGGGGCGCACAGAACCUACUGUCAGGAUAAUUUGUGGCGAGACUCGUCCUCUUAAAUUUAUUAGACAUUUAAAAACAAAGUCAUAGUUUGAAACAUUUUCAAGAUUUAAUGAUUUUGGGGGAUUUGUCCGGCGAGUUGCAUCCCCGCGGCUGUCAGCCUGAAGAAGUCCAUGCGGCCUCCAGAAAGCAAACCUGACACUGUUGAUUAAGACGUCCACUAUGCAGGCAUGAAAUAUAAACCUCCACCCCCAAAACAAUCUCGCCGUCUUUCCCCGAAUCGUUUCUCUCAUUCUUUUAUUCUCCAUCCCAUUGCGUCACUUUAUUUUUUUUGCCGAAAAACACAAACGCCUUCUCUUGAUCUUCUUUUUCGGAUUUGAUAGCAUACCGCGGAGGUGCCGAAAGGGGCGAGUGCAGGCCGCCCCGCCGCCACACCAAAGGACCCCGCCCCCACCACCCCACCCGUUUCCCUGGCAUCGCCAAGGGAAACGACCUACAUAGGCCGCGAGCAGCCAUCUUGGCCGUGUUAUGAAUUCCCGGCAUAAUUGUUUGUGUCGUCGCGUCGACGUUUCUAUAGACGGCGCUUCCCCCCUCUUCGGAGUGCUUGCCUUCAACUCUUAACAUCUCCAAACAAACAAAACAUCGGGCCCGUGAGUCAAAGACUCGCCCUCUGUAAUUCUGCCCGUCCGCAGCCAAUAAAGAUAAGAGGCCGACGUCUGGAAUGCCGCAGGAAGGUGACACUGAGGAGAUGGAGGAAAGGAAAAGACACAUUGUGACACUCGGUCACCCGUUCAUGUGGGAAAGGAGAGAUGAGAGACCGGGGGUCAAUCUGGGCUAAGCCCCGCUGGUGCCAGCGGACUCCCUGGGACCCCAAGCCCUCCCCGCCGUCUCCCGAAAAGCCUCCCCCACUCUCCGCCUGACAGCGAUGACAUCAUCAAACGCCAUCCAUGAGGAUGACUCCGCGUUCGGGUGCGUUGUCCCAUCUGGCCGGGAAACGGAUCGACUGUUCUGGAGUGUUUGCGAAGCGGCCCCGCUAAAAGAAAGCGGGUGGGAGAACGCCGCCCAAGCGCGCAUCAGCAGCAACUGGACGUGGCGACCGUACCCUCGGAAAAAGGCUGAAAUUGCGUCAGCUGUUGCUCGGCUGACGUCAAGAAGAAGAAAAAUCGUCAAAAUCCGACAUCCUCCCUGGGGGAGUCCCGGCCUGGCAAAAUAAGCUUAUUUUAAGCAUGCGGAAGAAGCAGCGAGGAUGACAAGGCAAGUCCAAGUGGAUGUGGGAAAAGUGGAUGGAGACUUUGAGGAGGUGACCGGCGAUGAGCACAUGACAGGAGGAGCAGACGAGACAAGAAAAGUCCAAAAAAGAAAAGUCAUGGGAAAAAAAAAAAACAAGAUGAGAGGCGACGAGAGUGAUGAGGGGCUGGCGCAAGGCUGGCUUACCCGGAUGCCGUAGAGCUGGCGCAUGGACACCCUGGUGGACAUGGUGACGGGAGGGAC